AAACACUAGUAAAAUGAUUCUAUGAUGGACAUUUUAAAAGUGUUCUUGUAGAAUUACUGAAUUAUCCAGGUCAUUACACAACUGUAAUAGUUGUUUUACUUCUUUUAAUGUCGUGAGUGUUCUGUGAAGUAAAUAAAGGCAACAGUAGUAUACCGCUGUUCAAAACUCAUAAAUUCAUGGUCAAAAACCACAAGGACAUAACACUAACAUGUAACACACACAGAAACGGACCGAGCAUCAGACAAAAUCAGGUAAAUGAUACAUGAAAUAUUGACCUUUACUUUCUUUUAAAUUCCGGUAUCUUUGAUAACUUUUAUAUGUUACAUUUAGUUUCAAGGUGUGUAAAAUGUAAGACAGAAUUAAGAUCUUUACCUCUUGAGCGGUACCCUACGAAUUUUAAAAAAAAUACAACAUGAAAGAGGUACGAAAGAUACCAAAGGGAAUUUCAAACUCAUAAAUCUAAAACAAACUGACAAUGUAAUGGCUAAAUAUGAAAAAGACAAAAAGACAAACAAAUUACACAUGACACAACAUAGAAAACUAAAGAAUAAACAACACGAAUCCCACCAAAAAC
rnacentral:lncRNA from 1 species